UGAGAGUUCUUUUGAGAACAUAAGUGCACCC
rnacentral:piRNA from 1 species